rnacentral:rRNA from 1 species
AUAGCGUAUAUUAAAGUUGUUGCAGUUAAAAAGCUCGUAGUUGAAAUUCUGAUUGUAUUGGGCCUCAGCACUUGAUGCGAAGGUACCAGCAGUCAUCCGCCUGCAAUUACAUGUCCUUCCUUAACCGGUAGGCUGUAUGAGCAGGCAAUUUACCUUGAGAAAAACAGAGUGCUCCAGGCAGGUUUGUCCGGAAUGCAUUAGCAUGGAAUAAUAGAAUAUGACUGAAGUCGAUUUAUUGGUUUGAGGCUUUAGUAAUGAUUAAUAGGAACAGUCGGGGGCAUUAGUACUUGUCAGUCAGAGGUGAAAUUCUAGGAUUUGACAAAGACUAACUGAUG